rnacentral:lncRNA from 1 species
UAACCUUUUAAUGUUUCAUUUUUGAGCAGAGAUUUUCAGUUGCACUUAUUUUAGUCUGUUUGCUAACAGUGGUUUGAAGUGAUCAGUUUCUGUCAUGUUUCUGGACAGGCUGACUCAGCUGCUUCAGUGGAGAGUAAGCAAUUUAAGGAAGGAAGGAAGACCGUCCACUCUGUCUCCGUCUGUGCAUCUGAAGAUCCAGAGCAGACUCUGCAGUUAUUUGCUGAUGCUCUAUGAGGCAUCUCAUUUUGUGUGCUGAACCGCAUCGAGCACUGGAGCCACUUUCCCAAUGACAGAAACACUCUGUUCUGCUGGCCAGCACUGCCUGUGCACAUGGAGACUUGAAGUACCCUGCAGGACACAGCCCUAAAGGCAUCAGGAAAAAAGACUGAGGCGUGUGUGCUAGGACAGUGGUGCCAAAUUUCUUCCCUGUGGCAUGCCCAGGCUAAAGCCUAACCCUCGGCUCCUCAGUGCUUGCUGCUUAGCAGCAGGGGCAGGAGACAAGGGGACAGUCUGCUGUAGUCAGAAAAAUCAGCUCAGCUGUGAACCUAAUCAAGCAGCCAGGCAGUAACUGAGACAAGAUUUUGUCCCCCUUUGUACCACGCAGGAGUCUGCACAGGAAAACCUUCACUGCCUGGAAUCAGCCAGAUAUGGGUGGGACUUCAGUGGAGGUAAUGCUUUUCCAGAAGAAUGAUAAUGGCUCCACAGUACACUGUUCUUGUAUCAUAGCCUUCCCAAAAAUGCCACUGGGAAGCCAGUUUUCAAAUAGAAAGCCCCACUGUCCACCUCCAGUUUAGAGAACCUCAGAGAUAUGAGCUGGCAGAGAUCCUCUAUAAGCAGCCCUUGUCAAAGCCCCAGCAGGGCAGUGACAGAGCCCACAGCUUGUGGCUUUGCUUUGUAGGUUCAGGAUCCACCCAGUGGGCCUCAACUAUGUUUUAUGUGUGUUCUCAAUUAGCAGCCUACCAAAUGGCUAAGCAAGGACUUUUUGAUCUUCAGCCCAACAAGCUAAUGCAACACCUUUCUUCUUGAAAGUAAAUCAAAUUAAUGUGUGUAAUUUUGGCCACAUGCAGUUUGUAGAACAAAGGAAGUAAUGGGAAACAUCUUUUAACCACCGUAUGUGUUUUAUUCACAUACUUGUGACUACAGCAUAGAAAUUUGUCUUCCUGUUAUCACAUUCAUUUCAUUUCUACUAGACUUAUGUAAACUUGAACUUCUGUGAUACACAGCUCAAUUUCAUUUGAGUUUCAGAGCCAGUGGUU